GCGGUAAGGCCCUUCGGGGUACACGAGCGGCGAACGGGUGAGUAACACGUGGGUAAUCUGCCCUGCACUCUGGGAUAAGCCUGGGAAACUGGGUCUAAUACCGGAUAUGACAACCUUGGGCAUCCAGGGUUGUGGAAAGUUCCGGCGGUGCAGGAUGGGCCCGCGGCCUAUCAGCUUGUUGGUGGGGUAAUGGCCUACCAAGGCGACGACGGGUAGCCGGCCUGAGAGGGCGACCGGCCACACUGGGACUGAGACACGGCCCAGACUCCUACGGGAGGCAGCAGUGGGGAAUAUUGCGCAAUGGGCGAAAGCCUGACGCAGCGACGCCGCGUGAGGGAUGACGGCCUUCGGGUUGUAAACCUCUUUCAGUGCCGACGAAGCGAAAGUGACGGUAGGUACAGAAGAAGCACCGGCCAACUACGUGCCAGCAGCCGCGGUAAUACGUAGGGUGCGAGCGUUGUCCGGAAUUAUUGGGCGUAAAGAGCUCGUAGGCGGUUUGUUGCGUCGGCUGUGAAAACUCGGGGCUUAACUCUGAGCUUGCAGUCGAUACGGGCAGACUUGAGUUCGGCAGGGGAGACUGGAAUUCCUGGUGUAGCGGUGAAAUGCGCAGAUAUCAGGAGGAACACCGGUGGCGAAGGCGGGUCUCUGGGCCGAUACUGACGCUGAGAGCGAAAGCGUGGGGAGCGAACAGGAUUAGAUACCCUGGUAGUCCACGCCGUAAACGUUGGGCGCUAGGUGUGGGGGUCAUUCCACGGGCCUCCG
rnacentral:rRNA from 1 species